GUGUCAGCCGCCGCGGUAAUACGGAGGAUGCGAGCGUUAUCCGGAUUUAUUGGGUUUAAAGGGUGCGUAGGCGGAUAAAUAAGUCAGUGGUGAAACCCUGCAGCUUAACUGUAGACUUGCCAUUGAUACUGUUUAUCUUGAGUUUGGUCAAGGCAGGCGGAAUGUGUAAUGUAGCGGUGAAAUGCUUAGAUAUUACACAGAACACCGAUAGCGAAGGCAGCUUGCUGGGCCGUUACUGACGCUGAUGCACGAAAGCGUGGGGAUCGAACAGGAUUAGAUACCCUGGUAGUCCACGCCGUAAACGAUGAUCACUAGCUGUUGGCGAUACACAGUCAGCGGCAAAGCAAAAGCAUUAAGUGAUCCACCUGGGGAGUACGGCCGCAAGGCUGAAACUUAAAUGAAUUGACGGGG
rnacentral:rRNA from 1 species